rnacentral:sRNA from 1 species
UACAAACCUCCUGGAAUAUUUCUGAUAG